GUGUAAGCUUUAUAAUGUUGUUUAAUUACAAAUUUGAUUAUUAUAAUUAUUUUUAAAGUUAUACUAAUAAUAAUCCAGAUAUGUUAAAAAUGUAAUUAUUUACCUAACUGACCCGACCAGACCUUGCCACAUCCAUAACAAAUUGUCUUCAACGACUCUGGCUGCUUCUUCCGAUACGGUGGUGAUGAUGAUCUUCUUUUUGAUCGAACAGUGUAUAUUAGUCGUACUUGGUAGCGCUUCCAAGGAGAGCAUUCAGUGUGGUACAACUACAAGUACC
rnacentral:sRNA from 1 species